rnacentral:rRNA from 1 species
GCCUGCGAUCAUACUACGUUGAAAGCACCCCAUCCCGUGAGAUCUGCGAAGUUUAGGAACGUUAGGCUGAGCUAGUAGUACGAUUGGAGACAACGUGGGAACACUCAGGGUCGUAGGCC